AUUGAACGCUGGCGGCAUGCCUAACACAUGCAAGUCGAACGAGUGGCGGACGGGUGAGUAAUGUCUGGGAACCUGCCUGGUGGAGGGGGAUAACUACUGGAAACGGUGGCUAAUACCGCAUACCAUCAGAUGUGCCCAGAUGGGAUUAGCUUGUUGGUGGGGUAACGGCUCACCAAGGCGACGAUCCCUAGCUGGUCUGAGAGGACGACCAGCCACACUGGAACUGAGACACGGCCCAGACUCCUACGGGAGGCAGCAGUGGGGAAUAUUGGACAAUGGGGGAAAGCCUGAUGCAGCCAUGCCGCGUGUAUGAAGAAGGCCUUCGGGUUGUAAAGUACUUUUAGCGGGGAGGCGUUACCCGCAGAAGAAGCACCGGCUAACUACGUGCCAGCAGCCGCGGUAAUAC
rnacentral:rRNA from 1 species